GGCGAACGGGUGAGUAACACAUCGGAACGUACCCAGGAGUGGGGGACAACCUCGAGAAAUCGAGGCUAAUACCGCAUACGUCCUGAGGGAGAAAGCGGGGGAUUCGCAAGGACCUCGCGCUCAUGGAUCGGCCGAUGCCGGAUUAGCUAGUUGGUGGGGUAAUAGCCCACCAAGGCUACGAUCCGUAGCUGGUUUGAGAGAACGACCAGCCACACUGGGACUGAGACACGGCCCAG
rnacentral:rRNA from 1 species